CAGAGCUCUGUCAAGACAGGAACCUCUUAUGCCGGAUUCCUGAUGUAGCCCAGUGUUGAGCACAUAUUUGGUUUUUCAGUGUGAGACCAAGAAAGCUAUUGAUGCGAAACUGCUCUUUGGUGACAUCGUGCUUCAACAAGUCAUCCCCAGUGCAACCCAGGAUGAUGGCCAUUUGCACUUCCUUUUUAGGCAUCUGACAUCAGCUUCAAGAAGUCUCUCCCCAUAUGUAAGUUUCAAGUGUUGCCUGUAGACAGGUUUUAAUAAAGGAAGUCAGCAGUUACAAUGUAUGUGUAUACUUUACACUCCUUUUCCAACAUACCCACUUCAAGCCUAACUCUAGACCUUGGAUUUCUCCCUCCCUCUGUGUCCUAAAGCAUAGAAAAAAAAAAAAAAGCAUUCAUCUUUGUUAUGUAUCAGAAGGUUCGUUGCCCUUGUCUACCAGUUUCCUUUUCAUUCAAUAAAUAAUUGUGUGUUCUGAUAUUUGCCUUAAAUUUCCUGGUUUUUGGGAAUGUUUCAUUGUUAAGGGUUUCCCUUCACUUCCGAGGCAAAUGAGCUUACCUUAGUCCAUUAAGAUUGUCAUUUUGUCUAAGGACCAUGGGCAAAGUCUGACAGGUAGUGUUUCAGUCUUAUCUCUGUCUGAUCAGAAGAGGAAGUCUUGCUAGUCCCUCUUUAGUCUGAAACUGAUUAUUGUCCUCACAACUACACAAAAGGAGCUGCAGUUCUUUCCACACCUGAAGGCAUUUGAAGUGCAAUCUGCAUGGUACUUACAAACUCUGCUAAAAGGAACGGUUGACUAUUUUCCUAAUCUGCCUGUUUGCAUUCAUAGGCAUUAAGAAUGCACAGUAAACAAGCUAAAGUGCAGACGCUUUCACAGGUUUCUGUUGGACAAUAACAACCACCGGUAACGAAGAGGACAAGAAUCUGUUUACAAAUGUGUAUUUCAUCAGGCAACACCUGCUCUAAAAUGGCCAGAGCCUGCCAUUUCCACAAAUGUGGACUAAAAUGAACAUACCUGAAAAAAAGAUUUUUCACCUUCUAAUAUAAAAUAUUCUGUCUUCAUUUCAAAGGUGUAAUGUAUAGUAUACAAUAAGGUGGUAAUAAUCUUAAAGUGACCGAUGGUUAGAGAAAUUGGUUAACGGACUUCUAUUGGAUUUAUAAAAGGGAAAGAGUUUUGCCUCUCUCUGAUGCUUAGUUGGUGUUUCCAAUUGAAAUUUGAGAUGAAUUAGAGUUGAAUGAAUUUCCCUUCAGCACUAUGAUUUUAUUAUUGUACACAUUUCUGUUUUAGAUAUGUUUAAAUAUAAACAUUAAAUAUAAACAUAGUUCUGUUUAAAUAUAAAAAUUUGUGGAAUCCUUAAUUAGAAUCUCAGUAGAUAAAGCCUGAGAAUCAAUGUUUAUAUCAUGCUGCACAGGUGACUGUGAUUCAUAGCUUCUGAACACUCCAACAUUCAUCACUGGUUUUGUGCCACACCCUUGAUGGUUUGAGAUGGUUAAGUGCUUGAAAGAAAGAUGUUCUGCUAUUCACUGAACAUAUAUUGGAAGCUUUUAGAGUCCAGGUAAAUUUUUUAAAAGUUGAAAUUUUGUAAUGGAAACAAAUUAGCCUGAAUUAUAUCUUUGUUAUAGAAGCAGUUACAGAAUGGACCAAACAUUUUCUAAGGAAUAUUUCUUUAGGGAUUUCCUCAAAUAUUUAAGCAAACAUUCCAAAGUUAUGUACCAGAAAGCAUAUAACAAUUUACCUUGGCCUGGAAAACCUUUAUGGCUAUGGUAACCAAUCAUGUAACUCCAAUAUAAAAAGCUUUGAUAAGGUUCCUAUAAACAGCUUAAAUUUUGUGUAGGAAUAUGCUUAAAAGAUGAAAUAGCAUGUUGAAUAAAGUUGUUUAGAAUUGUCAUACAAAUACUAAAUUAUAUCUUCUUAAAACAAUUAUUUAGAUUUUAUAGUUUUUACAUUAAAAUCUUACUUCUAAAAUAAAUUAAUAAAAGAAAUAAUCUAUCAUGUUCAGUUUCCUCUUCAGGGCUCUUUAUAAUAUUGUCACACUGACAGGUUAGAGGAAGAUUUAUAUCUCUGGUGUGUUAAUGGCUGGAGGACUUUUAUUCAAUACUUCUCAUUGACUUAUUCAUAAGUUCAACAAAAAUGUGUUGUGAACCUUCUAUGUGCCAAACUGUUAAAUGUUCUGGGAUUGCAGUAAGUAAAUACAACCAAUAUCACCUGUGCUUCCCUUAGUGCGCUGGAAGAAUUGAAUAUAUCUGACUUGGAUUUUCAGAUUCUAGGAUCAAAGGUUGUUUUCUCAAAAGUUUAUUUAUAUUAAUUUCU
rnacentral:lncRNA from 1 species